GACGAACGCUGGCGGCGUGCUUAACACAUGCAAGUCGAACGGAAAGGCCCUGCUUUUGUGGGGUGCUCGAGUGGCGAACGGGUGAGUAACACGUGAGUAACCUGCCCUUGACUUUGGGAUAACUUCAGGAAACUGGGGCUAAUACCGGAUAGGAGCUCCUGCUGCAUGUUGGGGGUUGGAAAGUUUCGGCGGUUGGGGAUGGACUCGCGGCUUAUCAGCUUGUUGGUGGGGUAGUGGCUUACCAAGGCUUUGACGGGUAGCCGGCCUGAGAGGGUGACCGGCCACAUUGGGACUGAGGUACGGCCCAGACUGCUACGGGAGGCAGCAGUGGGGAAUAUUGCACAAGGGGCGGAAGCCUGAUGCAGCAGCGCCGCGGGCGGGAUGACGGCCUUCGGGUUGUAAACCGCUUUCGCCUGUGACGAAGCGUGAGUGACGGUAAUGGGUAAAGAAGCACCGGCUAAAUACGUGC
rnacentral:rRNA from 1 species